rfam:Phytophthora infestans T30-4 supercont1.24 genomic scaffold, whole genome shotgun sequence.
AUCCGUCUAGCUCAGUCGGUAGAGCGCUGGCCUUUUAAGCCAGUGGUCGUGGGUUCAAGCCCCACGGGGGGUG